CGGAGGAUCCAAGCGUUAUCCGGAUUCAUUGGGUUUAGAGGGUGCGUAGGCGGAAUGAUAAGUCAGUGGUGAAAUCCCUUCGCUUAACGAAGGAACUGCCAUUGAUACUGUCAAUCUUGAGUACAUUUGAUGUGGGCGGAAUGUGUCAUGUAGCGGUGAAAUGCUUAGAUAUGACACAGAACACCGAUUGCGAAGGCAGCUCACAAAACUGUAACUGACGCUGAGGCACGAAAGCGUGGGUAUCAAACAGGAUUAGAUACCCUGGUAGUCCACGCUGUAAACUAUGAUUACUCGAUGUUUGCGAUACACUGUAAGCGUCUAAGCGAAAGCGAUAAGUAAUCCACCUGGGGAGUACGCUCGCAAGAGUG
rnacentral:rRNA from 1 species